rnacentral:rRNA from 1 species
GGAAACCAAUGCGGGGCAACCCGGAAUCUGGUGAUUCAUAAUAACUUUCGGAUCGACUUCGGUCGAUGCAUCAUUCAAGUUUCUGCCCUAUCAGCUUUGGAUGGUAGGGUAUUGGCCUACCAUGGCUUUAACGGGUAACGGAGAAUUAGGGUUCGAUUCCGGAGAGGGAGCCUGAGAAAUGGCUACCACAUCCAAGGAAGGCAGCAGGCGCGUAAAUUACCCAGUCCUGACACAGGGAGGUAGUGACAAGAAAUAACAAUGCUGGGCUUUUUCAAGUCUGGCUAUUGGAAUGAGAACAAUUUAAAUCCCUUAUCGAGGAUCGAUUGGAGGGCAAGUCUGGUGCCAGCAGCCGCGGUAAUUCCAGCUCCAAUAGCGUAUAUUAAAGUUGUUGCAGUUAAAAAGCUCGUAGUUGGAUUUCUGGUCGGAGCGGUCGGUCCGCCCUUUACGGGGUGUGUACCAUGUCCAGCUUCGGCCAUCCUCGAGGAGAGCGUAGCUGGCAUUAAGUUGUCGGUUGCGGGAUCCUCGUCAUUUACUGUGAGCAAAAUAG